GGAGCACAAGCUUUGCUGAACUGCUCUUCAAAUUUAAGCAGCUAAAAAUGCCAGUGCGAGCUUUGCUGAGAUUGGCUCCUUUGCUUCUUGGAAAUCCACAGCCAAUGGUGAUGUGACCGUGUCUGGCGGUGAACCUACCCUGAAACGUGACUUCUGCACAAAAAACGUGACCAAACAUCAAAGCUAAAGCAAUGUUUAUAAAGUUUUAUGGUAUAACUAGGGGGAAAUGAGCUGCACAAACCUCAAUGUAUUUUAAAUCUGUUGCUGUCAUCAUUAACGGUAUAUGACAUAUAAAAGCAAGUUAAAAUUUACUUUUGUAAAUAAAGUUUUUGGUUUGUUUCCAAAACUCUUGAUGAUUGCUUUAGUUUUGGACUUAGAGAAUAGAGCAGGGGUUGCUGGAGUGAAUAUUGAUUUUUAAAGUCUUUGAACUGUGGUGGUAUAGGUGAAGUGACUAAGCCCAAAAAUGCCAAGUUUUAAAAGAAGCUAUGUCAUAAAGUUUUACUUUCUGUGGCAAAAGAGCGCUUUAGCAUUUCCUCAGAUGUCACAGUUGUCCUGUCUAAAAUAAGUUUGUACUUCUGGUGACAAUGCCAGACACUCUUAUGAUGUGAUCACCUUAAACAGGAGAAGGAGAUUUUUGCCCUCAGUUGCUCAACAUGAAGUACUGUGGACUGAAUUGUGUCCUCCCAGAAUUAUAUAUUGAGGCCCUAAUCCCUGUGUGACUGUAUUAGGCAAUAGGGCAUAUAGGAGAUUACUAAGGUUAAGUGAGGUCAUCAUAAGGGUGGGGCCUUAAUUCAGUAGAAUUGGUGGCCUCCUAAGCAGAGGAAGAGAGAUUUUUCUUUCUCUCUCUGCCAUGUGAAGACAGUGAGGAGUCGGCCGUCUGCAAGCCAAGAAGAGCCCUUAUCAGGAACAGACUUGGCUAGCACCUUGAUCGUGGACCUCCAGCCUCCAAAAUUGCGAGAAAAUACAUUUCCGUCGUUGAAACCACCCAGUCUGUGGUAUUUUGUUAUGGCAGCCCAGGCAGACUAAUACGUGAAGCCUGCUCUAAAUAGAUAAAAUAAGAAAUUACUACAGAGGGCUCUUUAGAAAUUGUAUUUAAAAACAAGACAAUCCAUAUUUACCUAAGAUUUACAGAACGUAUGUCUGUAAAAGGAGGGAUUUCUGGACUAGAUGAUGGUGAAAAAUGUUCAUAUAAAGGCACCUCCAGCUUCGAGUUGCCAACACAGGAGGAAGAAUGCUCCCUGCUGUUCAGAUGCUGAUAUGUGUCCUGUGCUUCCUGGAUGGCCAGUGGGAUCAUAAGCUGGUAGAAGCAAGAUCUUCAUCCACUGACUUCAUAUUUCUUCCACAUCCUGAACUGUGGUGUUUGACUUUAAAAAUAAAUUAAAGCAAAUAGAAAUGUUUCCAUUGAGAUUUUGGCAAAAACCCACAUGACAUUUGCGUCUGCAGAGUAGACUUGGAAGGCAUGCACCUGGAGGCCAAGUGGUAUUCUCUGGACUCUCUGUCCUUGCAUUUGCGUGGCUGCCCCGAGGACUCCCUUCUUCCUGGAUGUGAAGCAGAGGCACGGUGGGGCUGACUGAGAGGCUGAAAUGUGCUUCUCUUCACAGUUACAUAGUUUUCUUCUAAUUAAAAAUAAAUUUUAAGUGGUAGAUUAUGAAAAUUCCAUUUGAAUCAAGAUUUUAAAAAUUCAAUAUCAAACCAGUUGUUACUGUCUUCACUCUCCGUUGUUUACGAUUGUGUGCUUUUCCCUGAAUAAAGAAUGACUGGAGAGACAUUAGUUGUUUGCACACAUAUUAACU
rnacentral:lncRNA from 1 species